rnacentral:rRNA from 1 species
AGGAUCAACGCUGGCGGCGUGCCUAAUGCAUGCAAGUCGAACGGGGUUCCCUGCGGGGGCUCACGUGGCGGACGGGUGAGGAACACGUGGCCAAUCUGCCCAGAGGCAGGGGUAGCCCGCGGAAACGCGGGUAAUUCCGUAUGCGCUGUGGUCCCGAGUGGGGAUCGUAGCAAAGGCGCAAGCCGCCUCUGGAGGAGGCUGCGGCCGAUUAGCUUGUUGGUGGGUAAUGGCCUACCGAAGCGAUGAUCGGUAGCUGGUCUGAGAGGACGAUCAGCCACGACGGGACUGAGACACGGCCCCGACUCCUACGGGAGCAGCAGCAAGGAAUUUCCGCAAUGGGCGCAAGCCUGACGGAGCAACGCCGCGUGCGGAUGACG